rnacentral:rRNA from 1 species
UACAGAGGUCCCAAGCGUUGUUCGGAUUCACUGGGCGUAAAGGGUGCGUAGGUGGCGGGGUAAGUUUGAUGUGAAAUCUCCAAGCUUAACUUGGAAACUGCAUUGAAUACUAGCCCGCUCGAGGUUUGGAGGGGGGACUGGAAUUCUCGGUGUAGCAGUGAAAUGCGUAGAUAUCGAGAGGAACACCAGUGGCGAAGGCGAGUCCCUGGACAACACCUGACACUGAGGCACGAAAGCUAGGGGAGCAAACAGG